UCCCAUUCGUAGCGUAGUGGUAGCGUGUUGUUGUUGCCUGUUGAGAGGUCGUGGGUUCGAUUCCCCCCUCGGCA
rnacentral:tRNA from 1 species